CUCACAUUAUUUCUUUACUUUAAAUCAUCAGACUUAGUAGGUAACCCCAUUGUGUGAUUAGAUGGGGAAUUUGUCUUUUGACUGCAUUUUUUCCCUUCCUUGGUUAAAACCAGGAAAUGAAACAACAAAACAGCGAAACCAGGAAGACUAGUGCCAUGGAACAACUACUAUCUCAUCUUACAGCAAAACUUACAAGCUUGACUUUUGUUAUGUCAACAUGAUGAAUUGCCAUUACUCACUCUCUCUCUCCCUCUCCCCUUUAUACAACAUGCACAUACAUAAAAAAUGUAGUUAAUAAGAGAAAGAACCUGGUAAAUUUUCUUGUAUGGGUGAUAUUGUUCCCACACCUGUGCUACUAGAGUUGCAAAGUUCCAUAUUAGCAGUUGCUUUAAAGCUGAAAGUAAGCUUGUCCUAUGAAUGUAUGGGGCCACACAACCACAAGGAUUUUUGUUUUCUUUUUUGUUUGCAGCAGACCUACUUUUAAAACUGAUUAAAGGAGUUGCUGGUGUUUGUUUGUUUGUUUGUUUCUGUACAAGUGGUUGUUAUUUAAGGAACUAAAAUCCAAAGCCCCUUUGGCUUGCAGAACCAGUUGGGUCCUUCUGUGGGUUAGUUAAUUACAUUAAAAGGAAACAGACCUAUAGGAUAAAGACAGUAUUUCAAAAUUAUUGUUAUUUGACUUAAGAAAUUACAAUUAGGGGAACUAUUUUUUAAAAAAAUUAAUUGUGGGGCUUAGGUAAGUCCUUAGGCACACUACAAUGCCACUGCUGAUAUUGCAGAUAGCCAAGGCAUAUUAUGCUACAAAGCACACUCCUACAGAGGCAGUUUUAGGAUAGUGUGACUGGUUUGGCCACACUGGCAAAUUGUGAUCUGCAAAUUUCAGUUGACAAUGUAACACCAGGUUUAUAACCAAAUAAAUCAGCUGCCACGCUAAGCAAUUCUCACAAACAAUACAUACAUACAAAUAUGAGCCACUGAUCCUCUACUCUUAUCCCACUGAUAUACUUCAGUAUUCUUUUAUUAGAUAAGUGGUCCAAAGUUUCUAUUCAAAGACAUGUUACAGUGAAAUAUUUUACGUUGUCAUGUUAAUAAAGGAAAUACAGCAGUGCUGAUUUCUUGCUUGUAGAUUUAAGAUUCUGAUACAAAUAAUAAAUAGUAUUUUUAAUCAGCACAAAGUCUAAAAUGAUUUUAAAUCCUGGGUUUUUUCCAGCCAAAAAUUAUCAUAAUACCUAGGUGUGCAAGUUACAUGACAAGUUAUUUUUCAGUCACUGUGAGGUUUGAAAUCAGGCCCUAUCAGAGGUGCCAACCCUUCAUUCAAUCAGUCAUAGAAAUGUGGUUUACUAGAAAAUAAUAAUAAUGAAAAACUGUAAUUCUAAAGGCACAAAAUCGCAUAGCUGCUCUAACAGGAAUUUGUAAACAGAGAAUUGGCUGAAUUUAAAAAUUCAU